ACGAGUGGGAUGUCACUGCCACGAGGUAUUGCACAAGACAGGUCUCCACUUGUGAAAGUCCGAAGUAAUUCUCUGAAAGCGCUGCCUCCACCUGUCCCAAAGCCAUCCUUCAGCCAGCACUCCCUGGCCUCCACGAAAGACCAAAGGCCUGUCAACCAUCUGCACCAACACGGCCUGCUGAGUCAGCAGACACGGGGCCGACCCGAAAGCACCUUCCCUCACCUCGAGCUGCAGACCGACGUCUCCCCGAGCUUACCAGGAACCUCUGCCAAGACCAGUCCUCAGCUCAGUGAGAACCUGGGGACGUCAGACUUAGACUUACAUGCCAGUCCACGGAAUGGAGAUGU
rnacentral:lncRNA from 1 species